GCCCGGCUAGCUCAAUCGGUAGAGCGUGAGACUCUUAAGAAUCUCCGGUUCCGAAACAUCUCAAGGCUGUGGGUUCGACCCCCACGUCGGGCU
rnacentral:tRNA from 4 species